GCAAAGUUGCCCAGCCGCGGGUUCCCCAGGGUGUCCCGUGAAGAGCCGCGUCCGUCUUCCCAGAAGAAGCCCGUCGUUACGGGUCGUGGUAGGCUCAGCCUAUGGAAAGAUGAGCAACGGGAGGGAGGAACUGAGAUUUGAAAGAGGCGUCCAAGGUGCCCACUGUAGAUACCAGAUCGCACUAUGGUGUGAAAGUCACAGUGACAGAAUGUCCUUUCUAUCCAUUGGGAUGGCCGCUGACUGCUCCUCUUGUGAGACUUGGAAGGAAGCAAAUCUUACAUCUGUUUUCAGCCGUUCUGUCCUGUCCUCUCUCCCCUCCUCUGCAGACCA